rnacentral:rRNA from 1 species
GGGUCUACUCAUUGGUCAGGCUUAAUUGUCUGUACUGGUGAGAUGGAUCUCUACCUUCUGAGGGACUUUCAUGCCAUUUAUUUGGUGUGAUUGGAAAUCAGGACUGUUACUUUGAAAAAAUUAGAGUGUUUAAAGCAGACUAUCGUCUGAAUACAUUAGCAUGGAAUAAUGAAAUAGGACGGACUGAUUCUAUUUCGUUGGUUUCUAGGAUCGACGUA